GCUUUCUGCUUUUGGCAGCUUCUUCUUCGUCUUUAUAUUCUGCCCAUUCUUCUUUUGCUUCGUUUUUGCAAACGUCAACGUCAGUUCAGUUGGCAAUGUGCCCAGACGACGCGCACGACAUCAACGAAACGAAACGAAAUGAAACGAAACAAGUUUUUCUGCUGCGGCGCUGCUGCUGCGCAUACGUCACAAUCAUAAGGCAGAGACAGAGGCAGAGGCAGAGGCAGUGUCAGCGAUAGUGGCGGUUUGCAUGCAACCAAGUGAGAGAGUGCGAGGGAGAGCGCGGCAAAUUGCAGUUGCUGGUCCGAGCCGGUUUCUCCUUCUCGCUCGUUCGUCUUUCGGCUGCUUUUCGUUUUAUUUUUUGCAUGCAUGCCAUGUAAUACUGUAUUCGUUUUAGUUUUCUACUCGAACCGACACACACGCACACGCACACAUUUUGCGUGCCUAUGGAACCAUAUUCCCGCGAUCGACAAAUUCGCACUACACCCCAGCAGCCCCAGCAAUGAUUCACAAUUUACACUUGGACUACGGAUUACGGAUUACGGAUUACAGAUGCAGAUACAGAUACAGUUAUGGGGGAGAAUCGGGGCCACACAUCAUAAACAAAAUUCAAUAUUUAUACAUAUUCGUAUGGGAAUAAAAAGAAACCAUAUUGUGUAUAAUCUGUUAAGUACAUAUGUACAUACAUAUGUAUUGUAUGUAAAAGAAAUAAACUAUUUGCCAUUGUA